UUAGUACGAGAGGACCGGGAUGGACGGACCACUGGUGUAUCUGCUGUCGACCAACGGCAUGGCAGAGUAGCCAAGUCCGGAAGGGAUAAACGCUGAAGGCAUCUAAGCGUGAAGCCCCCCUCAAGAUGAGAUAUCCCUCACAUAAGUGAGUAAGAUCCCUUGAAGAGUACAAGGUAGAUAGGGCAGAGGUGGAAGCACGGUAACGUGUGGAGCUGACUGUUACUAAUCGAUCGAGGGCUUGACCAAAA
rnacentral:rRNA from 1 species